ACGCUCGACACCUACGGAGGCAGCAGUGAGGAAUAUUGGUCAAUGGGCGCUAGCCUGAACCAGCCAAGUAGCGUGAAGGAUGAAGGCUCUAUGGGUCGUAAACUUCUUUUAUAUAAGAAUAAAGUGCAGUAUGUAUACUGUUUUGUAUGUAUUAUAUGAAUAAGGAUCGGCUAACUCCGUGCCUGCAGCCGCGGUAAUCUGAGCGGGCUGGCAAGGC
rnacentral:rRNA from 1 species